rnacentral:tRNA from 1 species
AGCCCUGUAGUCUAGGCACCUUCCCAGUUUCAUGCGGAUGGUGGGAAUAUGGCCAAGGAUAGCUGCCUCUGGAGCAGCGGACCCAGGUUCGAAUCCUGGCAGGGCUA